rnacentral:misc_RNA from 1 species
UCGGGCAGCGACAACAUCCCGUGCUCGCCUUUUCAUUCUUGGCACAAGUGCACGUUUGCCUUGGCCGCGUCGGUUUUCCUGUGUUGCAUACCUGCUGUGAAGGCACUCUUUCGGAUAUAAAUGACCCAUUUCCACCAAGUGCUGCCUCUUUCGUGCGGUGGCGCGAGGUGGAACCCCAAAUGCGGUCGACGUGUUUCCUCUUUCCCGUUCAUUAAAGACGGGCGAUUGGCCCACGUUUGCAUCGUGCGAUCUCUCGGUUGCGGAGUAUCAUGUGGGUACGUGGCCUUGUGCCUCUAUUUGCCCCGUAACAAGCGUUCUACGCUUCACGCGAACGACCGUCGUUGUCGUUUUGAUCGGGUCCUCGCGGCUCGUACCAUGCGGCACCGGCGUCGGUGAGGAAUGC